rnacentral:rRNA from 1 species
GACGAACGCUGGCGGCGUGCUUAACACAUGCAAGUCGAACGGAAAGGCCCUGCUUUUGUGGGGUGCUCGAGUGGCGAACGGGUGAGUAACACGUGAGUAACCUGCACUUGACUUUGGGAUAACUUCAGGAAACUGGGGCUAAUACCGGAUAGGAGCUCCUGCUGCAUGGUGGGGGUUGGAAAGUUUCGGCGGUUGGGGAUGUACUCGCGGCUUAUCAGCUGGUUGGUGGGGUAGUGGCGUACCAGGGCUUUGACGGGUAGCCGGCCUGAGAGGGUGACCGGCCACAUUGGGACUGAGAUACGGACCAGACUCGUACGGGAGGCAGCAGUGGGGAGUAUAGCACAAUGGGCCGGAGCGUGAUGCAGCAACGCCGCGUGCGGGAAGACGGGCUUCGGGUUGUAAACCGCUUUCGCCUGUGCCGAAGCGUAAGUGACGGUAAUGGGUAAAGAAGCACCGGCUAACUACGUG